AUACGAAGGGGGCUAGCGUUGUUCGGAAUCACUGGGCGUAAAGCGCACGUAGGUGGACUAAUUAGUUGAGGGUGAAAUCCCGGGGCUUAACCUCGGAACUGCCUUCAAUACUGUUAGUCUUGAGUCCGAGAGAGGUGAGUGGAAUUCCUAGUGUAGAGGUGAAAUUCGUAGAUAUUAGGAAGAACACCAGUGGCGAAGGCGGCUCACUGGCUCGGUACUGACGCUGAGGUGCGAAAGCGUGGGGAGCAAACAGGAUUAGAAACCCCAGUAGUCC
rnacentral:rRNA from 1 species